CCUACGGGCGGCAGCAGUGAGGAAUAUUGGUCAAUGGACGAGAGUCUGAACCAGCCAAGUAGCGUGAAGGAUGACUGCCCUAUGGGUUGUAAACUUCUUUUAUAUGGGAAUAAAAUGUUCCACGUGUGGGAUUUUGUAUGUACCAUAUGAAUAAGGAUCGGCUAACUCCGUGCCAGCAGCCGCGGUAAUACGGAGGAUCCGCGCGUUAUCCGGAUUUAUUGGGUUUAAAGGGAGCGUAGGUGGAUUGUUAAGUCAGUUGUGAAAGUUUGCGGCUCAACCGUAAAAUUGCAGUUGAAACUGGCAGUCUUGAGUACAGUAGAGGUGGGCGGAAUUCGUGGUGUAGCGGUGAAAUGCUUAGAGAUCACGAAGAACUCCGAUUGCGAAGGCAGUUCACUGGACUGCAACUGACACUGAGGCUCGAAAGUGUGGGUAUCAAACAGGAUUAGAUACCCGAGUAGUC
rnacentral:rRNA from 1 species